GUCGAGGGGCAUCAGGGAUUAGCAAUAAUCCGCUGGCGACCGGCGCACGGGUGAGUAACACGUAUUCAACCUUCCGAUAACUCGGGGAUAGCCUUUCGAAAGAAAGAUUAAUACUCGAUAGUAUAUUUUCUUCGCAUGUUGAAAAUAUUAAAGAAUUUCGGUUAUCGAUGGGAAUGCGUUCCAUUAGGCAGUUGGCGGGGUAACGGCCCACCAAACCUACGAUGGAUAGGGGUUCUGAGAGGAAGGUCCCCCACAUUGGAACUGAGACACGGUCCAAACUCCUACGGGAGGCAGCAGUGAGGAAUAUUGGUCAAUGGACGCAAGUCUGAACCAGCCAAGUAGCGUGAAGGAUGACUGCCCUAUGGGUUGUAAACUUCUUUUAUAUGGGAAUAAAGUGCGCCACGUGUGGUGUUUUGUAUGUACCAUUAUGAAUAAGCAUCGGCUAACUCCGUGCCAGCAGCCGCGGUAAUACGGAGGAUGCGAGCGUUAUCCGGAUUUAUUGGGUUUAAAGGGAGCGUAGGUGGGCUGGUAAGUCAGCUGUGAAAGUUUGCGGCUCAACCGUAAAAUUGCAGUUGAUACUGUCAGUCUUGAGUACAGUAGAGGUUAGCGGAAUUCGUGGUGUAGCGGUGAAAUGCUUAGAUAUCACGAAGAACUCCAAUUGCGAAGGCAGCUGACUAGACUGUUACUGACACUGAUGCUCGAAAGUGUGGGUAUCAAACAGGAUUAGAUACCCUGGUAGUCCACACAGUAAACGAUGAAUACUCGCUGUUUGCGAUAUAC
rnacentral:rRNA from 1 species